rnacentral:rRNA from 1 species
AUUGAACGCUGGCGGCAGGCCUAACACAUGCAAGUCGAGCGGGGUUUUCGGACCUAGCGGCGGACGGGUGAGUAAUGCGUAGGAAGCUACCCGAUAGAGGGGGAUACCAGUUGGAAACGACUGUUAACACCGCAUAAUGUCUACGGACCAAAGUGUGGGACCUUCGGGCCACAUGCUAUCGGAUGCGCAUACGUGGGAUUAGCUAGUUGGUGAGGUAAUGGCUCACCAAGGCGACGAUCCCUAGCUGGUUUGAGAGGAUGAUCAGCCACACUGGAACUGAGACACGGUCCAGACUCCUACGGGAGGCAGCAGUGGGGAAUAUUGGACAAUGGGCGCAAGCCUGAUCCAGCCAUGCCGCGUGUGUGAAGAAGGCCUUCGGGUUGUAAAGCACUUUCAGUAGGGAGGAAGCGUUGUGUGUUAAUAGUACACAGCGUUGACGUUACCUACAGAAGAAGCACCGGCUAACUCUGUGCCAGCCGCCGCUGUAACAC